CGUCUAGAGAAGAGCGAAAACGCAUGAAUCACCCCCCAUUGCACAACACGCGCGAAUAGAAUGCACAAAGAGCAAAAAAAAAGUACCGUAAAUCCGAAUGCGAACGAGCUUAUUGUCGAAUAUGGACUAUGUAAAUAUCGGAGCAACGUGGAAAAUUGCGCAUCGAGGAACGUAACUGCGAAGAUAAUACACGUGGUAUGUGCAAGGCGUGACGCGAUAAUUACGGAAAAUGAGACACCAGGGAAUGCCCGGCUGCACUGACAGGCGACAAUCUUCAGUUUGGUAGAGGACGAAAAUUGUAGGCACUGUUAAAUGCAUAAUAACGUAAUGUAAUGAAUGAUAUUGCGAAAUAUGCGAUAUACGAGGAACUUGCAUGCGAAGCUGAUUGUUCAUUGAUGCGAUCUAAAAAUAAAGGAAGAUUGCAAUUUCCCAUCAUCACUAUGUUAAUUAUGCAAUCAUUAGCGAGAUUAUCCUGUUUUCAG